rnacentral:rRNA from 1 species
AUAAUGCCCGAUAGAACACUAUACCUGGAAUGGUUUGUGUUCCAAAUGAUUUAUCGCCAUAGGAUGGGACUGCGGCCUAUCAGUUUGUUGGUGAGGUAAUGGCCCACCAAGACUAUUACAGGUACGGGCUCUGAGAGGAGUAGCCCGGAGAUGGGUACUGAGACACGGACCCAGGCCCUAUGGGGCGCAGCAGGCGAGAAAACUUUGCAAUGUGCGAAAGCACGACAAGGUUAAUCCGAGUGAUUUGUGCUAAACGAAUCUUUUGUUAGUCCUAGAAACACUAACGAAUAAGGGGUGGGCAAGUUCUGGUGUCAGCCGCCGCGGUAAAACCAGCACCUCAAGUGGUCAGGAUGAUUAUUGGGCCUAAAGCAUCCGUAGCCGGCUCUGUAAGUUUUCGGUUAAAUCUGUACGCUUAACGUACAGGCUGCCGGGAAUACUGCAGAGCUAGGGAGUGGGAGAGGUAGACGGUACUCGGUAGGAAGUGGUAAAAUGCUUUGAUCUAUCGAUGACCACCUGUGGCGAAGGCGGUCUACCAGAACACGUCCGACGGUGAGGGAUGAAAGCUGGGGGAGCAAACCGGAUUAGAUACCCGGGUAGUCCCAGCUGUAAACUAUGCAAACUCAGUGAUGCAUUGGCUUGUGGCCAAUGCAGUGCUGCAGGGAAGCCGUUAAGUUUGCCGCCUGGGAAGUACGUACGCAAGUAUGAAACUUAAAGGAAUUGGCGGGGGAGCACCACAAGGGGUGAAGCCUGCGGUUCAAUUGGAGUCAACGCCGGG